AAUUUCCCAGAUUGGGGCUGAUUUGGCAGGGUCUCUACGUUGGCACUGUUAUGAAUUGCUUUAGGGAAUUCAUGCUUUUGAGGCUUCCCUCUUGAUAUCGAAAAAGGAAAUAACCCAGUAUUUAGUCAGUUUCCAGUUCCCGAUAGCUUGUAGGGUGGAAGAGGUUUACAGGGUAGGUAUUAGGGAGCGGUUCUUGGGUAGAUAUGGCCCUUGUCUGGUUCUUUCUCUUUUUUAUAAAUCUCUUGAGUGCUGCUAGGGUUUGAAUGUGUUCCCCAAACAAGAUGGCAAACUCGUGGUAAGAAGCUGUGAAACAGGAGUAGAAAUUAGUAUGCUGAGAAGCAGAUUUUAAAAGCUGUUUCUCUUCAGAUCAUCUUUUUCAUAUCACUUGAUAAGCAUCUUGAAACACCAUGGCUGUAGCUGCAGUAAAAUGGGUGAUGUCAAAGCAAACUAUCCUGAAACAUUUAUUUCCAAUCCAAAAUGGAGCUUUAUAUUGUGUUUGUCAUAAAUCUAUAUAUUCUCCUCUAUCAGAUGACUAUAAUUGCAAAGUAAAUCUUGCUCUGACUUCUGAUGGCAGGACAAUAGUAUGUUACCACCCUUUUGUGGACAUUCCAUAUGAACACACAAAACCUAUCCCUUGGCCAGAUCCUGUGCACAAUAAUGAAGAAACACAUGAUCAAAUCCUGAAAACCAGAUUGAAAGAAAAAAAUUGAACCCCUUGAACAAGAACCUGUUGUAGAACAACUUAGCAAAAUGUUCUUUACUACUAAGCACUGCUGGUCUCCUUAUGGACGGUAUCACAGACGGCAUAAGAAUCUGAAUCCUCCAAAAGACAGAUGAUGCUGAGGUUCCUGGGAGAAUCAAAGGGAAAUAUGCCUCAUUUGCCAUUUGAGAAAAUGCAGCUGGUGUAUGCUAAUAUAUAGUAAAGUAAUAAUGAUAAAAUAUCUUUUCAUAUAUUAGAAUGUGUACUUUUAUAUAUGUUAAGUAAUUCUGAAUUUGACAUUCUCAUUUAGAGAAACCUAUUACAUUUUCUUUUUCUUUUUCAAUUUUAGUCUUUCAUUUAUGUAUGGUCUCCAAUUUAGAACUUUUCCAUAGUGCCAAAGCCAUACAUAUUCAGUAGAACAUCCAUAGAUUACAUCAGAACACUUUGUUAUAAAAUAGGCUUUGUGUUAGAUGAUUUUGCUCAACUGUAGGCUAAUGUAAGUAUUCUGAGCAUAUUUAAGGCAGGCUUGCAUUUUCAAUUUAUGGUAUUUUCAAUUUACAGUGGGUUUAUUGGUAUGUAAUCCUACCAUAAGUUGAGAAACAUCUCUUUUUCUGUGUCUAGCAUGAUUUAAGUAUUUUUACAUCAUUAGCCAAACAUUGUUAGUAGUAUAAACAUAAUUAAUAAAAAGGUGCAUGGCUUUCCUGAGGGAGAUUUUUAAAUUGCCUUUGAGAAUAAAGUCAUAAGGUCUACCAAGAAAAUAAAUGUUAUAAUGUUUCAAUUGGCUUCUAGAAAAUAAUUAAAUUAUUGAUAUUUUGAUCAGGUUUUACUAUCUACUAGGCCCCUUCCAUCCAUUCUUAUUAAAUUAUCAAAAUAAUCCUUUGAAGAAGGAGCAUAAUCACAUUUUACAGGGACUCGAACCCUACCAAACAAGUGGGAGAGCCAGGAGCCGAACUGUCAGACUCCAAAGCUUUUCUCAGUGCAUCACAAUGACAAAGGGGUGGUUUUCUUUCACCCAAGAAUGUGCUUUCCUAGAGAUUUUUCUAGAUAGAAUAUUAUGUAAUUUGUUUUGAGGGUUUUUUUCCCUGGCUGUCUUAAAGAUUAUGCUAGCUUCAGAACACAUGCAAACAGCUGCAGCUCUGUGGUUAAAAUGUUAAUGUCACUUAGACUAGUGUUAUGAGAAUGUUAAUAGAUAAUUCUGCUGCCACUACUAGCUUAUGUGUGAUCCUUAAUAGCAUUGCUUCCACUUCGAUUUCUAUUUAGGAGGUAAAGAAUCUUUUAAUAAGUAGAAAAUUCCUUUAUUUAAACUUGUACUGUAAAAUGUUUGUGAUGCAGUAAAAUUGAUGUGAAAAAUAAUUUCUCGUUCAAAGUC